UACGUAGGUGGCAAUCGUUGUCCGGAUUUACUGGGCGUAAAGAGCGCGCAGGCGGUCGUUCAAGUCGCGUGUGAAAGCCCCCGGCUCAACUGGGGAGGGUCACGCGAUACUGAUCGACUCGAAGGCAGGAGAGGGUAGUGGAAUUCCCGGUGUAGUGGUGAAAUGCGUAGAUAUCGGGAGGAACACCAGUGGCGAAGGCGACUACCUGGCCUGUUCUUGACGCUGAGGCGCGAAAGCUAGGGGAGCAAACGGG
rnacentral:rRNA from 1 species